rnacentral:rRNA from 1 species
CCUACGGGGGGCAGCAGUGAGGAAUAUUGGUCAAUGGCCGAGAGGCUGAACCAGCCAAGUCGCGUGCGGGAAGACGGCCCUACGGGUUGUAAACCUCUUUUGUCCGGGAGCAAAGCGAGUCACGUGUGACUCAUUGUGAGUACCCGAUGAAUAAGCACCGGCUAAUUCCGUGCCAGCAGCCGCGGUAAUACGGAGGAUGCGGGCGUUAUCCGGAUUUAUUGGGUUUAAAGGGUGCGCAGGCGGAGGUGCAAGUCAGCGGUCAAAUGCCGGGGCCCAACCCCGUACGGCCGUUGAAACUGCAUCCCUUGAGUGCGCGAGAAGUAUGCGGAAUGCGUGGUGUAGCGGUGAAAUGCAUAGAUAUCACGCAGAACUCCGAUUGCGAAGGCAGCAUACCGGCGCGCAACUGACGCUCAUGCACGAAGGCGUGGGUAUCGAACAGGAUUAGAUACCCCUGUAGUC